AAGUAAAUAUGGUCAUGUGUUUGUUUUGUUAAAACGAUAUUGGUAUUAGUAAAUAGGUGAAUUAUUAAUUAUAUUAUCACUUGUUUUCCAUAUUUAAACUGUAAUUAAUCAAAGUAAAUCUAUCCAUUAUUGUAGAAAAAUACGCUGGAAACAGAAUAUUAUAUCAAUAGACUACCUUAGCUCAACUAAGAAUAAACUGAGCAGGGGAUGAAUACCGUGGUGUGUUUUCAUGUAAUAAAAUAAAUCUGUUAAAAUUGUUCGUUAUGAUGGUUCCUGUACUUUAAAUAUAGUUUGUAAGUAAAUGAUUAGUCUGUUUGUCUUAAUAAA
rnacentral:misc_RNA from 1 species